rnacentral:rRNA from 1 species
AACGAACGCUGGCGGCGUGCCUAACACAUGCAAGUCGAACGAGAAUCCGGGCUUCGGUCCGGUAGUAAAGUGGCGCACGGGUGAGUAACACGUGGGUAACGUGCCUUAUAGUGGGGGAUAACCAGGUGAAAGCUUGGCUAAUACCGCAUGAGUCCGUCGGGACGCCGGUCCUGACGGGGAAAGUGGAGCAAUCCACGCUAUGAGAUCGGCCCGCGGCCCAUUAGCUAGUUGGCGGGGUAACGGCCCACCAAGGCACACA